rnacentral:rRNA from 1 species
UACGUAGGGGGCAAGCGUUGGUCCGGAAUCAUUGGGCGUAAAGCGCGUGUAGGCGGCCCGAUAAGUCCGCUGUGAAAGUCCAGGGCUCAACCCUGGGAUGCCGGUGGAUACUGUCGGGCUCGAGUCCGGAAGAGGCGAGUGGAAUUCCUGGUGUAGCGGUGAAAUGCGCAGAUAUCAGGAGGAACACCAGCGGCGAAGGCGGCGCUCUGGGCCGGAACUGACGCUGAGGAGCGAAAGCGUGGGUAGCAAACAGG